UUCGUCACAAGGACGUCGCUAAACUUGUGACGGAACUCAAUUUUAGUCACUAAGAGCUUACCAACGAGCAUAAUUGUAACAGUCAACACUCCGUUGCUAAUUAAUCGUGAGUAAUUAAGGAUUUUCAUCAUAUAGUGAGGGAUUGUGUUUGUCGCAAAACACUAUUUUUUUGCAGUGUUAGCCUCUCAUAACAAGAUAAAGUUACUUCAUCAGUGAAAAUCCUUAAUUCAAGUUCCAGGCUCUGAUACGUUCCCUCUUUCACUCCAGGGUGAUGAAUUUGAAGACUUCAAAAUCAUACAAAUUUGUGUUCAGCAGCUAAAGGAUAAAGUGUGCUCAAAUAGAAGCUCUCAUCUCUCAAAGUAAAGACUGUGUAAGCUCUCUGAUGAAACUUUCCUUCUUUGAUGGCUAAAACUCCCAUCUUCUUCAAUCUUCAUCUCAAAGCAUAAGUUGUUUCAGAUAAUGUGAUAGCUUUUUUGGAGGCAUUUUAAAAUAUUUUAGCACAUUUUCACUUGAUUGGAAAAUACUUUAGUAAUCAACUUAUUGGUUGUAAGUUGUAAGUAUCUUCAAGUUAAAUGUACUGCAAUCAACUUGAAAGGU